GGGCUCAGUUAGGUUCGAGCCUAGAAAGUUGGGCUUGAUCUCGGCUUGAGAUUAAAAUUUUUGGCUCAAGCUUGAGUUCAAGCUCGACUUAUUUGCAGGCUCGAGUUCAAGUGCGAAUUGAAAUUUAGACAUAAUAAAAUUGAGAAAAAUUCGUUAAUCCAAACCAAAUCUGACUUGCCUAAAUCGAUUCAUAACCGAUCUGCAUAUUAAAUAAGUCAAAUAUGGUUUAAUUUUUUUUUUUCCUAUCUCUAAAUGAGUAGGUUGACGGAUUUAGGAUUUUAUUCGAUGGAUAUCUGUUUAUCCACUAACAAUUUAUGUUUAAACUUAUUGAUAAUUCUAUAUGUUUAUGCUUAUUAGGCAUCAAUUCAAUUAGCAUAAGUUCUCUUGGUCAAUGCUUAAUCCCACACUCCCAAUUAUUGCACUAUUGUAUGCAUCUCUUGGUUUGCCCCAUUCCUACAUUCAAAAUCAAGCCUAAUUAUUCAAUUUUCUCAUGAUUAGAACAAAAGCCUAAUAAUUCAUGAUCUGAAAUUUUUUUUAUAAAAAAUUAUAAUUUUGUGAUUGAUUAUUAAAUGUUUAACAAUUACCAACAACAAAACAACGACAAAACCAAGUCUUAGUCCCACUAAGUGUGUUCAGUUAUAUGAAUCAUUUUUCUCCAAUUUAUGUGAUCAUGAACCAUUUCUUUUGAUAGAUUCAAGGAUAUUAAAUCCUUACUUACUAUCUCCUCUCAAGUUAUUUUAGAUCUAUCCAUACUCUUUCUACUGCCCCCCCAUAGUAACUAAAUCACUCUUCCUCAUAGGUGUACUAUAAGGCCUACGUUGCAAGUGUUCAUACCAUCUGAGUCGUCCCUCCCUUAUCUUAUCUUCUAUAGGAGUUAUACCUAACUUACCACGAAUAUGUUCAUUUUUUAAUUUAUCUUUCAAUGUUAUACCACUCAUUUAUCUAAGCAUUCUCAUCUCGGCAACUUUUAUAUGACAGCUAUAAGACCAGCUAUGCUAUAUGGAUCGGAAUGUUGGGCGAUGAAGAAACAUAAUAUCCAAAAAGUAAAAGUUGAAUAUCUCUUUUAUUUUUGUAUAUAGCCCACGUCCAGAAUGAUGCAGGAACCCUUGCAUAUUUGACACCGUACCCGGGCGCCGACACGGUGCGUUGCUUCGGGGUGACGACCUAGCCCACCCUCGCCCACUUUUCACUACACCCGGGUGGUUCAAGUGCAACACGUCGCUCGUAGGGGACGUCCCAACAAAUAUUUGGUAAGGAUUCAUAUCAUAGUGACCUGACAAAUUUUACGUUGGCUGUCAGCUACCUAACGGAACCCUCCUCCUUAACCCAGGCUUGGGACCGACUGUGUAUGAAAAAAUUAGGACAUUAAGUGCAUCACAGGCGGAGUUAAAUGUUUAACAUUUACCAAAUUAUAAUUUUGAAAAUAACUUCAAUUAUUACGUUAAAAAAUAAAUUGUUUAUGGGAAUGAUGGAUUAUUUGCCAUCUACAACAGAUUAUUCAAUUUGAACCACAAUAAAUUCGCAACUUAAUUGAGUUGAAUAUUGAUUGUAA